rnacentral:rRNA from 1 species
UACGUAGGGGGCAAGCGUUGUCCGGAAUCAUUGGGCGUAAAGCGCGUGUAGGCGGUCCGGUAAGUCCGCUGUGAAAGUCGGGGGCUCAACCCUCGGAUGCCGGUGGAUACUGUCGGGCUUGAGUACGGAAGAGGCGAGUGGAAUUCCUGGUGUAGCGGUGGAAUGCGCAGAUAUCAGGAGGAACACCGAUGGCGAAGGCAGCUCGCUGGGACGGUACUGACGCUGAGGCGCGAAAGCUAGGGGAGCGAACGGG